CCUCUCUCAGGAUCACACCUGGAGAGUUUCCAGUACUCUACCAGUCUUGACUACUUGAGGGAGAGUCAAGCAGAGGCCUACCCAUUCCAUUGCUAGCUUGGGCAGUGGCUCGUGAGUGGAAGGUAAUCUACUACAAGU
rfam:Ornithorhynchus anatinus chromosome 7, whole genome shotgun sequence.